AUUGGAGAAUAUGACCACCAUAUCAAGUGAUGACUCCACGCCUAGUGUGCAAACUCCACCAACUGCUCACGUUGAUGUGCCUAGCUGAGAAAAACUUGAUGUUCUUUUAGAGCAAUUCCCCACAUUCACCAAUAUUGAGUCUCCGAUGUCCCACAUGAAUGAGCUCUUCCCAAUACUGGAGAGGAUUCCAAUAGAUGUGAUUGUUAACCCCUAACAGAACUUUAUGGCUCGUGUCCUACAUGAGACCAUAUACAAGAUCAUUGAAGCGAUCAUGCGCUUGAAGGAUUACACGACCAUGUAGAUGACGGAAGUGAUUGUAGCCGAGGUCCGAAUGAGACAACGUUUUCAUCUUUUUGAACGACUGAAAGUAGCAUAAAAAAUGAGGGCAUACACGACCCAUAGUGCAGACUGCCAGAAGAAGUUGUUGGAUAAGUUAGAGAUGGCUAAGACAGUAGAAGUUGUUGCACAGAAGGUGACAGUUGAGGGUGUGGGCCUAUUGAGGAAUGCAAAGUUGAAGAAUGAUAUGCUUCAGGCUGAGAUCCGUCAACUGAAAUUGGAUAUGGCUGCCUUAGAAUCAUGUAAGGCCAAAUAUGAAGAAGAGGUGCUCGGUUGAAGUUGGAGCUCAAGCAGACCGUGUCUGACUUUGCCAAGGAAAAGAAGAAACUGGAGGCAACUUAUCAAUAGCAACUAGAUGACAUGUUUUUUUUUUUACAUCUAUCACUGUUGUAUGAAAAAACAUGGCAUCAUCGAUGAUAUCCUUAACAUUCCAUCGAACGAGAAAGAUGAAGUCGAGCUAGGAAAGGGCGUCGGCCAAGGGGACGACUCGGGAGUGGGAGACCGAUUUGCAACAACUAACCAUGAAGAUCAGGAUACUGCCUAAGAUUGCUGCUUUCAUUGUUCUUUCUUUUGGUCUUUUAGGUCUUUUAAUUGUAUAGACAUGGGCUUUUUGGCCAUUUUUGGAUGCUAUAAAUGAACACAAUUUUUAA